CUUUCACCCUGCAUCUUGUUUCAUCGUAACAACAUCUCAACCCUCCAAUGUAAUCCGGCUCUAUAACUCGGUCAUGCUCGUCCUUGGUAACAUUAUAAAGAUCACACCUGCAUUCAGUACAUCCCAAUCUAUCUUCCGCACCUCGUGUAUCAAUUGCAUGUACAUUGAGCAACCAUUUCUCCUCGUAUCCAGAAGGUACUUCGACUGGAUUACCGAUUUCUAUUCCAUAAGGAUCUGGAACAUAGGUGAUUGUUUUUCGCGUCUCUGACCCAAGGCCAAAAUAUUGAGGAAGGCCUCUAUCACAUAUCCCUGAGUUUCUC